GACGAACGCUGGCGGCGUGCUUAACACAUGCAAGUCGAACGGGUCUGCCCUGUUUUUUGCGGGGUGGGUCAGUGGCGACCGGGUGAGUAACACGUGAGUAACCUGCCCCUCACUUCUGGAUAACCGCUUGAAAGGGUGGCUAAUACGGGGUGUUCUGGCUGUGCCGCAUGGUGUGGCUGGGAAAGAUUCACUUUUGUGGUGUUUUGGUGGGGGAUGGGCUCGCGGCCUAUCAGCUUGUUGGUGGGGUGAUGGCCUGCCAAGGCUUUGACGGGUAGCCGGCCUGAGAGGGUGGGCGGUCACACUGGGACUGAGAUACGGCCCAGACUCCUGCGGGAGGCAGCAGUGGGGGGUAUUGCACAAUGGGCGGAAGCCUGAUGCAGCGACGUCGCGUGAGGGAUGGAGGCCUGCGGGUUGUGAACCUCUUUCGCCGGUGAAGAAGGUCCUGCUCUUUGUGGUGGGGUUGACGGUAGCCGGGUUAUGAAGCGCCGGCUAACUACGUG
rnacentral:rRNA from 1 species